rnacentral:rRNA from 1 species
CCUACGGGAGGCAGCAGUGGGGAAUAUUGGACAAUGGGGGGAACCCUGAUCCAGCGACGCCGCGUGAGUGAAGAAGUAUUUCGGUAUGUAAAGCCCUAUCAGCAGGGAAGAAAGAAAUGACGGUACCUGACUAAGAAGCCCCGGCUAACUACGUGCCAGCAGCCGCGGUAAUACGUAGGGGGCAAGCGUUAUCCGGAUUUACUGGGUGUAAAGGGAGCGUAGACAGUUACGCAAGUCUGGAGUGAAAGGGGGGGGCCCAACCCCCGGACUGCUUUGGAAACUGUAUAACUGGAGUGCAGGAGAGGUAAGUGGAAUGCCUGGUGUAGCGGUGAAAUGCGUAGAUAUUAGGAGGAACACCAGUGGCGAAGGCGGCUUACUGGACUGUAACUGACGUUGAGGCUCGAAAGCGUGGGGAGCGAACAGGAUUAGAUACCCCAGUAGUC